ACACAGUUGGAAGCAGCACUGGGACUCAAACCCGGCUUUCCCUGACCCAGAAGCCCGUGAUCUAAACCCCGUAUUACCCUGCGUGGCUGUGGGCUGAGGGCCCAGUAAAGACAGUCCGGUCCUGGGAUGGGCCUGGACAAUGGGGUUCAGAAACCCGCCUCUUGCGGCUGGCCUGCUCAUCUGAAGGGGAACAAUGCCGUUUGCCGGCAGAGAUGGAGGCCGCCCUUUGUCACCCCGUCACCUUCCCUCCUAGGAUCUGGCUGCUGUCCAGGGCGCUGCUGGACCAGGACGCGGCAGAGCUCAGCCUCAGGGCGUCCGCGGAGCGCAGGCGAGGCCGGGUCCUGACGCUGCAGAGCCGGGCGCAGCACACGGUGGCCGGCUGGGCGGCCCUGCCCCGCCUCCUGACCCUCAGGGCCGUGCUGAAGCUGAUGGAGACGCUCAGAGAGGGUACCAUCAAAGUCACUGCUGACUCAGCUGUGCUGGGCUUCCUCCUGCGGGACAAGCAUGAGAAGGCAGGGAACAGCACAAGCGUGCACAGCGUGACCUGCAUCCUCACCCAGAACAGCAGCCAGGCCUUGCCAGGGGAGCUCUGGCUGAGAUGGCGGCUGCAGGCUCAGCCAGGAAGCCUUGGGGGCCAGGCCAGUCUCCGUGCCAAAGCUGGCAGCCUGGCGCUGGGUGGGGCCUGCACCUGGGGCCCUGGGCACGGCCAGCUUUCAGGCAGCCUGAGUCAUAACGUCAGCACCUUGAGUGGGGCAGGUAGGAGGGAUGGGCAGGGCCAAAUGGCUUGGGUGGGACCAGGGGAAACUGACCUUUUCGUGGGUCAGAAAUGGUUGAAUGUUGACAAUUUCAUAUGGUUCGACCUGGUAUAUUUGGGGGCAGUGGGACCUGGGGGACCGAAUCUGCCUCAGGGCUCAGGAGACCCUCCAGAGAGAAGGUGGGCUGGCAGGGACAGGGACCCCCGUUCUGACUCCCAUCGAGGGUAGACCCGGCUCCGCCAUCCUCGUGGUUCCUCUGGCCCCCAGGACUCCCCUCGGAGGCAGAGAUGCUCCUGUCACACACCCAUGCGGCUUCCAACCUGUCAGUGCGCAUGGCCCUGCGGAGCACUGGAGGCCAGCUGGACGCCGCCCUCGGCCUGGAGGGCCCGGCUCCCGGCGCGGGGGGCAGCCGGCUCCGCGCCAGCCUCGGCCACACGGUGCCCAGCCUCCGGCGCUGGGGCCUCCCC
rnacentral:lncRNA from 1 species